rnacentral:tRNA from 1 species
UUUAAUAUGACAGAUAAAUGUAAUGAAUUUAAGAUUCAUAAAUGAAUUGUAUAAUUCUAUUAGAA